UGGCUGAGUGCUAAAGCAUUUAUUUUCUGAACUAAAGGUCCUGGGUUCAAAUCCUGG
rnacentral:tRNA from 1 species